rnacentral:rRNA from 1 species
UUUAUGGAGAGUUUGAUCCUGGCUCAGGAUGAACGCUGGCGGCGUGCCUAAUACAUGCAAGUCGAGCGAACGGACGAGAAGCUUGCUUCUCUGAUGUUAGCGGCGGACGGGUGAGUAACACGUGGAUAACCUACCUAUAAGACUGGGAUAACUUCGGGAAACCG